rnacentral:tRNA from 1 species
AGCUAAAAGACUUGAUUUGCAUUCAAAAAAUAAAUCUUUAGGAUUUUUAAGCCAGUAUAAAAAGCGAA